rnacentral:lncRNA from 1 species
GCAUGGUGGAGGCUGUUCACAUAGUAUCACCAGUGCAGCUCCUCCAUGGUUCUGGAAUUCUGGAAAAAAAAUGUGUGCAUUUGAGACCAAAAUCCAUCAUGCUGAUCGACAUGCCAGAGGGAUUUAUGCUCAUUUGCACUUUACAGAGGGCUCUUCUGCUUUUGUGGCCUUCAAAGCUCAGCAUCCUCAGAACUGCAGACCCCCCACUCAGGAAGAUGAAUGAACGGCUGAUCAGAUACUAGUACACAAGGAUCCACUGCAAAGUCACAGUGUAUACCAAGGCUUACUUUUUAUGAUUGCAAAAGUAGUCAAAACAGAGAUGCACUUCUAAGACAGCAGUUAAAAGAGUGUGUGUUAAAUUUAAAAGCAUAGUCCUCCGUUUGUAAUUCAUUUUGUUAUGCACCAUCCAAAAGAGGUUAUUUGGCUAAAGCUACAUUUCUGGGCAAGAAGGUCAAUCAGAGAUGGUACAGCACACUAGUAAAACACACUAGAGUUUUUCAAUUUUUUUCAUUCAUUAAAGAAAUAUUUUCUUAAUGACUUUGACAAUAGCAUACAUUUUUUUCAUGCAAUAGGACCAUGUCACCC